rnacentral:tRNA from 1 species
ACCCGGGUGGCGAAAUGGUAGACGCGUGGGACUUAAAAUCCCUUGGCCGCAAGGCCGUGCCGGUUCGAGUCCGGCCUCGGGUA